rnacentral:rRNA from 1 species
AGAGUUUGAUCAUGGCUCAGGAUAAACGCUGGCGGCGUGCCUUACGCAUGCAAGUCGAACGCAUCACUUCGGUGGUGAGUGGCGGACGGGUGAGGAACACGUACGUGACCUAUCCCAAACUGGGGGAUAACCGCCCGAAAGGGAGGCUAAUACCGCAUGUGGUCCCGGGGUUGCGGCCCUGGGAGUAAAGCCUGGUGCGGUUUGGGAGGGGCGUGCGGCCGAUUAGCUAGUUGGUGGGGUAAUAGCUUACCAAGGCGACGAUCGGUAGCUGGUCUGAGAGGACGGCCAGCCACACGGGGACUGAGACACGGCCCCGACUCCUACGGGAGGCAGCAGCGAGGAAUCUUGGUCAAUGGGCGCAAGCCUGAACCAGCGACACCGCGUGGAGGACGAAGGCCCUCGGGUCGUAAACUCCUUUUCUCUGGGAAGAAAGUUGUGAAAGCAACCUGACGGUACCAGAGGAAUCAGCAUCGGCUAACUCCGUGCCAGCAGCCGCGGUAAGACGGAGGAUGCAAGCGUUAUCCGGAAUGAUUGGGCGUAAAGCGUCCGCAGGUGGCAGUUCAAGUCUGCUGUCAAAGACCGGGGCUUAACUUCGGAAAGGCAGUGGAAACUGAACAGCUAGAGUAUGGUAGGGGCAGAGGGAAUUCCUGGUGUAGCGGUGAAAUGCGUAGAGAUCAGGAAGAACAUCGGUGGCGAAGGCGCUCUGCUGGACCAUAACUGACACUCAGGGACGAAAGCUAGGGGAGCGAAUGGGAUUAGAUACCCCUGUAGUCC